UGAGGAAUAUUGGUCAAUGGGCGCAAGCCUGAACCAGCCAUGCCGCGUGCAGGAUGACGGUCCUAUGGAUUGUAAACUGCUUUUGUACGGGAAGAAACCCUCCUACGUGUAGGAGUUUGACGGUACCGUAAGAAUAAGGAUCGGCUAACUCCGUG
rnacentral:rRNA from 1 species